AACGCCCACCAAACGUAUUUUUUCUUAAUCAGCAUUUUGGUUUAAUUUAAGGAAUCGCCACGUAUAUUUGAUUUAUUAGUUCAAAAGAUAAAGUAACAGACGGAGAAUAACUCCAUGCAUUCUCAAGUUAUUUUUUAAUGGUAAGAAAUAAAAAACUUUAACAGCAGUAAUUUUGUGGUUCAUCAUUACUUUUAAGUAUACAGUUUACAACUCUUUUACCUUUAUACCAUUAGGCUUGUAAGUAUAUGUUACAAUAUUUUACUUUAAAAGUGUUCUUUCCUCAGUAGUUUAUUGUUUACCGUCACUUAAUGUAAGCGAGCAAUUUGUUUUCAAACUUGUCCCCAUCAGCGUUUAACUUUUUGUUAAUUUUGUGGAUUUUUUAACAAGGUGAGCCGACGAUCCAAGCGAGCAGCAUGUCGUUGUACAACCUGGUGCGCAUGCGCUGGGACAGGCUUGUUGUUGACAGGUAUUUGUGGUGGGAGGGGUACAGCAUUGUAUGGGGCACUGGGGUCGACACAUGUUGGUUGGCAUGCAAGUCGGUGGACAAUGGUUUGGGAUAUCUUCAGUAAUGAUUGCUAUAUACAGUAAAGGAAAAGAAAG